rnacentral:rRNA from 1 species
UGCAUGUCUAAGUACACGCCGCACUAAGGCGAAACCGCGAAUGGCUCAUUAAAUCAGUUAUGGUUCCUUGGAUCGUACCUUACUACUUGGAUAACUGUGGCAAUUCUAGAGCUAAUACAUGCAGCAGAGCUCCGACCUUCGGGGACGAGCGCUUUUAUUAGACCAAAACCAAUCGGACCUCGCGUCCGUCUAUCGUGGUGACUCUGUAUAACUUUGGGCUGAUCGCACGGGCCCGUCCCGGCGACGUAUCUUUCAAGUGUCUGCCUUAUCAACUUUCGAUGGUAGGUUACGCGCCUACCAUGGUCGUAACGGGUAACGGGGAAUCAGGGUUCGAUUCCGGAGAGGGAGCCUGAGAAACGGCUACCACAUCCAAGGAAGGCAGCAGGCAGUUACGCGCAAAUUACCCACUCCCAGAACGGGGAGGUAGUGACGAAAAAUAACAAUACGGGACUCUUUUGAGACCCCGUAAUUGGAAUGAGUACACUCUAAAUCCUUUAACAAAGAUCCAUUGGAGGGCAAGUCUGGUGCCAGCAGCCGCGGUAAUUCCAGCUCCAAUAGCGUAUAUUAAAGUUGUUGCGGUUAAAAAGCUCGUAGUUGGAUCUCAGUUCCAGACGGGCGGUCCGCCUACCGGCGGCCACUGCCCGUUCUGAACAGCCGGCCGGUUUCUCUUGAUGAUCUUCACCGGUUGUCUUGGGUGACCGGCAAGUUUACUUUGAAAAAAUUAGAGUGCUCAAAGCAGGCGUGACGCCUGGAUAAUGGUGCAUGGAAUAAUGGAAUAGGACCUCGGUUCUAUUUUGUUGGUUUUCGGAACACGAGGUAAUGAUUAAGAGGGACAGACGGGGGCAUUCGUAUUGCGACGCUAGAGGUGAAA